GGCGCCUUCGUCUAGCCUGGUCCAGGACAUGACGUUCUCAACGUUAAAACACGGGUUCGAAUCCCGUAGGCGCUA
rnacentral:tRNA from 1 species